rnacentral:rRNA from 1 species
AUUGAACGCUGGCGGAAUGCUUUACACAUGCAAGUCGAACGGUAGAGGGGGCAACCCCUCGAGAGUGGCGAACGGGUGAGCAAUAUAUCGGAACGUGCCCAGUCGUGGGGGAUAACGUAGCGAAAGUUACGCUAAUACCGCAUACGAUCUAAGGAUGAAAGCGGGGGAUCGCAAGACCUCGCGCGAUUGGAGCGGCCGAUAUCAGAUUAGGUAGUUGGUGGGGUAAAGGCUCACCAAGCCAACGAUCUGUAGCUGGUCUGAGAGGACGACCAGCCACACUGGAACUGAGACACGGUCCAGACUCCUACGGGAGGCAGCAGUGGGGAAUUUUGGGCAAUGGACGCAAGUCUGAUCCGGCCAUUCCGCGUGCAGGAUGAAGGCCCUCGGGUUGUAAACUGCUUUUGUACGGAACGAAAAGGUCUCUCUUAAUACGGGGGGCUCAUGACGGUACCGUAAGAAUAAGCACCGGCUAACUACGUGCCAGCCGCCGCUGUAA